rnacentral:rRNA from 1 species
UACAGAGGGUGCAAGCGUUAAUCGGAAUUACUGGGCGUAAAGCGUGCGUAGACGGUAGCGUAAGUCGGGUGUGAAAGCCCCGGGCUCAACCUGGGAAUUGCGAUGGAGACUGCAAGGCUAGAAUCUGGCAGAGGGGGGUAGAAUUCCACGUGUAGCAGUGAAAUGCGUAGAGAUGUGGAGGAACACCGAUGGCGAAGGCAGCCCCCUGGGUCAAGAUUGACGCUCAUGCACGAAAGCGUGGGGAGCAAACAGG